GUAGGUGGCAAGCGUUGUCCGGAAUUAUUGGGCGUAAAGCGCGCGCAGGCGGGUCCUUUAAGUCUGAUGUGAAAGCCCACGGGCUCAACCGCGGAGGGUCAUUGGAAACUGGGGGACUUGAGUACAGAAGAGGAAAGCGGAAUUCCAAGUGUAGCGGUGAAAUGCGUAGAGAUUUGGAGGAACACCAGUGGCGAAGGCGGCUUUCUGGUCUGUAACUGACGCUGAGGCGCGAAAGCGUGGGGAGCAAACAGGAUUAGAUACCCUGGUAGUCCACGCCGUAAACGAUGAGUGCUAAGUGUUAGGGGGUUUCCGCCCCUUAGUGCUGCAGCUAACGCAUUAAGCACUCCGCCUGGGGAGUACGGCCGCAAAGGCUG
rnacentral:rRNA from 1 species